rnacentral:rRNA from 1 species
CUUAACCGGGCGUUAAGUUGCAGGGUAUAGACCCGAAACCCGGUGAUCUAGCCAUGGGCAGGUUGAAGGUUGGGUAACACUAACUGGAGGACCGAACCGACUAAUGUUGAAAAAUUAGCGGAUGACCUGUGGCUGGGGGUGAAAGGCCAAUCAAACCGGGAGAUAGCUGGUUCUCCCCGAAAGCUAUUUAGGUAGCGCCUCGUGAAUUCAUCUCCGGGGGUAGAGCACUGUUUCGGCUAGGGGGCCAUCCCGGCUUACCAACCCGAUGCAAACUGCGAAUACCGGAGAAUGUUAUCACGGGAGACACACGGCGGGUGCUAACGUCCGUCGUGAAGAGGGAAACAACCCAGACCGCCAGCUAAGGUCCCAAAGUCAUGGUUAAGUGGGAAACGAUGUGGGAAGGCCCAGACAGCCAGGAUGUUGGCUUAGAAGCAGCCAUCAUUUAAAGAAAGCGUAAUAGCUCACUGGUCGAGUCGGCCUGCGCGGAAGAUGUAACGGGGCUAAACCAUGCACCGAAGCUGCGGCAGCGACACUCAGGUGUUGUUGGGUAGGGGAGCGUUCUGUAAGCCUGUGAAGGUGU